GAUGAAGAACGCAGCGAAAUGCGAUACUUGGUGUGAAUUGCAGAAUCCCGUGAACCAUCGAGUCUUUGAACGCAAGUUGCGCCCGAAGCCAUUAGGCCGAGGGCACGCCUGCCUGGGUGUCACACGUCGUUGCCCCCCCAUCUACUCCUUCGGGAUUGCGGGGGGCGGAUGAUGGCCUCCCGUGCGCCUCGUCGCGCGGUUGGCAUAAAUGCCAAGUCCUCGGCGACGCACGCCACGACAAUCGGUGGUUGCGAAACCUCGGUUGCCCGUCGUGUGCGGUCGUCGCGCAUCGAGGGCUCGAAAAAAUUGCCGGGCUCCGGCUCGGCUUUCAACGCGACCCCAGGUCAGGCGGGGUUACUCGCUGAAUUUAAGCAUAUCAAUAAGCGGAGGA
rnacentral:misc_RNA from 1 species